rnacentral:rRNA from 1 species
CCUACGGGUGGCAGCAGUGGGGAAUAUUGCACAAUGGGGGAAACCCUGAUGCAGCGACGCCGCGUGAGUGAAGAAGUAAUUCGUUACGUAAAGCUCUAUCAGCAGGGAAGAAAUACUGACCUUACGGUCAGCAGACGGUACCUGAGUAAGAAGCCCCGUCUCACUAAGGGCCAGCAGCCGCGGUAAUACGUAGGGGGCAAGCGUUAUCCGGUUUUACUGGGUGGAAAGGGAGCGUAGACGGUGCGCCAAGUCUGGAGUGAAAUGCCGCAGCUUAACUGCGGAACUGCUUGGGAAACUGGCGAACUAGAGUGCGGGAGGGGUAAGCGGAAUUCGUGGUGUAGCGGUGAAAUGCGUAGAUAUUAGGAGGAACACCGGUGGCGAAGGCGGCUUACUGGACCGUAACUGACGUUGAGGCUCGAAAGCGUGGGGAGCAAACAGGAUUAGAUACCCUUGUAGUC